CUCCUAUUGGAGGCAGCAGUGAGGAAUAUUGCACAAUGGGGGAAACCCUGAUGCAGCGACGCCGCGUGGAGGAAGAAGGUCUUCGGAUUGUAAACUCCUGUUGUUGAGGAAGAUAAUGACGGUACUCAACAAGGAAGUGACGGCUAACUACGUGCCAGCAGCCGCGGUAAAACGUAGGUCACAAGCGUUGUCCGGAAUUACUGGGUGUAAAGGGAGCGCAGGCGGGAAGACAAGUUGGAAGUGAAAUCUAUGGGCUCAACCCAUAAACUGCUUUCAAAGCUGUUUUUCUUGAGUAGUGCAGAGGUAGGCGGAAUUCCCGGUGUAGCGGUGGAAUGCGUAGAUAUCGGGAGGAACACCAGUGGCGAAGGCGGCCUACUGGGCACCAACUGACGCUGAGGCUCGAAAGUGUGGGUAGCAAACAGGAUUAGAUACCCUGGUAGUCCACACCGUAAACGAUGAUUACUAGGUGUUGGAGGAUUGACCCCUUCAGUGCCGCAGUUAACACAAUAAGUAAUCCACCUGGGGAGUACGACCGCAAGGUUGAAACUCAAAGGAAUUGACGGGGGCCCGCACAAGCAGUGGAGUAUGUGGUUUAAUUCGACGCAACGCGAAGAACCUUACCAAGUCUUGACAUCCUGCGACGAUGCUGGAAACAGUAUUUUCCUUCGGGACGCAGAGACAGGUGGUGCAUGGUUGUCGUCAGCUCGUGUCGUGAGAUGUUGGGUUAAGUCCCGCAACGAGCGCAACCCUUACUGUCAGUUACUACGCAAGAGGACUCUGGCAGGACUGCCGUUGACAAAACGGAGGAAGGUGGGGAUGACGUCAAAUCAUCAUGCCCUUUAUGACUUGGGCUACACACGUACUACAAUGGCGUUAAACAAAGAGAAGCAAGACCGCGAGGUGGAGCAAAACUCAGAAACAACGUCCCAGUUCGGACUGCAGGCUGCAACUCGCCUGCACGAAGUCGGAAUUGCUAGUAAUCGUGGAUCAGCAUGA
rnacentral:rRNA from 1 species